rnacentral:rRNA from 1 species
GCGAGUGAAGCGGGAUAAGCUCAAAUUUAAAAUCUGGCGGUCUUUGGCCGUCCGAGUUGUAGUCUGGAGAAGUGCUUUCCGCGCUGGACCGUGUAUAAGUCUCUUGGAACAGAGCGUCAUAGAGGGUGAGAAUCCCGUCUUUGACACGGACUACCAGUGCUUUGUGAUGCGCUCUCAAAGAGUCGAGUUGUUUGGGAAUGCAGCUCAAAAUGGGUGGUAAAUUCCAUCUAAAGCUAAAUAUUGGCGAGAGACCGAUAGCGAACAAGUACCGUGAGGGAAAGAUGAAAAGCACUUUGGAAAGAGAGUUAAACAGUACGUGAAAUUGCUGAAAGGGAAACGCUUGAAGUCAGUCGCGUCUGCCGGAACUCAGCCUUGCUUUUGCUUGGUGCAUUUUCCGGUUGACGGGCCAGCAUCGAUUUUGACCGUCGGAAAAGGGCUAGGGAAAUGUGGCACCUUCGGGUGUGUUAUAGUCUCUAGUCGCAUACGGCGGUUGGGAUCGAGGACCGCAGCGCGCCGCAAGGCAGGGGUUCGCCCACUUUCGCGCUUAGGAUGCUGGCAUAAUGGCUUUAAACGACCCGUCUUGAAACACGGACC